CCAAACUUGGUCAUUUAGAGGAAGUAAAAGUCGUAACAAGGUUUCCGUAGGUGAACCUGCGGAAGGAUCAUUAACAAUUGUCCAUUUUCCUUUGCAAUAUGGAUGGUUCAAAUCCAUAUCCACCUUCUUGUGCACUUCAUUGACAUGUUUGCUUUGGCAGUUUGCGGGAGAGAAGAGAGAGAUAUCCUCCGAUCGUUUCUCCGUGGAUGGGAAAAAGGGGAUGAAAAAAGUCAUUCUUUUCUCAACCUUUUUUUGUUCCCCUCCGGCGCUGCCAGAGUUUUUUGUUCCUUUCGUUUCACGUUGACAAACUUAUCUUGCCUCCUGAGUUUUAAGGGGGCAAGGCUGAAGAACAUUAGCAAAAAUAAAUUGAAUACAACUUUCAACAACGGAUCUCUUGGCUCUCGCAUCAAUGAAGAACGCAGC
rnacentral:misc_RNA from 1 species